rnacentral:rRNA from 1 species
AUUGAACGCUGGCGGCAGGCCUAACACAUGCAAGUCGAGCGAGCGGCGGACGGGUGAGUAAUGUAUGGGGACUGCCCGAUAGAGGGGGAUAACUACUGGAAACGGUGGCUAAUACCGCAUACUUCCGGCUAACCCAUAUGGGAUUAGCUAGUAGGUGGGGUAAAGGCUCACCUAGGCGACGAUCUCUAGCUGGUCUGAGCGGAUGAUCGGCCAGAUUGGUACUUAGACAUGGCCCAGACUCCGACGGAGGCAGCAGUGGGGAAUAUUGCACAAUGGGCGCAAUCCUGAUGCAGCCAUGCCGGGGGUAUGAAGAAGGCCUUAGGGUUGUAAAGUACUUUCAGCGUGGAGGCGUUACCCGCAGAAGAAGCACCGGCUAACUCCGUGCCAGCAGCCGCGGUAAUUC